UGUGAACUGCGAAUGGCUCAUUAAAUCAGUUAUCGUUUAUUUGAUAGUACCUUACUACAUGGAUACCUGUGGUAAUUCUAGAGCUAAUACAUGCUAAAAACCUCGACUUCGGAAGGGGUGUAUUUAUUAGAUAAAAAACCAAUGCCCUUCGGGGCUCCUUGGUGAUUCAUAAUAACUUAACGAAUCGCAUGGCCUUGCGCCGGCGAUGGUUCAUUCAAAUUUCUGCCCUAUCAACUUUCGAUGGUAGGAUAGUGGCCUACCAUGGUGGCAACGGGUAACGGGGAAUUAGGGUUCGAUUCCGGAGAGGGAGCCUGAGAAACGGCUACCACAUCCAAGGAAGGCAGCAGGCGCGCAAAUUACCCAAUCCCGACACGGGGAGGUAGUGACAAUAAAUACUGAUACGGGGCUCUUUUGGGUCUCGUAAUUGGAAUGAGUACAAUCUAAAUCCCUUAACGAGGAACAAUUGGAGGGCAAGUCUGGUGCCAGCAGCCGCGGUAAUUCCAGCUCCAAUAGCGUAUAUUAAAGUUGUUGCAGUUAAAAAGCUCGUAGUUGAACCUUGGGUCUGGCUGGCCGGUCCGCCUCACCGCGAGUACUGGUCCGGCUGGACCUUUCCUUCUGGGGAACCUCAUGGCCUUCACUGGCUGUGGGGGGAACCAGGACUUUUACUGUGAAAAAAUUAGAGUGUUCAAAGCAGGCCUUUGCUCGAAUACAUUAGCAUGGAAUAAUAGAAUAGGACGUGCGGUUCUAUUUUGUUGGUUUCUAGGACCGCCGUAAUGAUUAAUAGGGAUAGUCGGGGGCGUCAGUAUUCAGCUGUCAGAGGUGAAAUUCUUGGAUUUGCUGAAGACUAACUACUGCGAAAGCAUUCGCCAAGGAUGUUUUCAUUAAUCAGGGAACGAAAGUUAGGGGAUCGAAGACGAUCAGAUACCGUCGUAGUCUUAACCAUAAACUAUGCCGACUAGGGAUCGGGCGGUGUUUCUAUGAUGACCCGCUCGGCACCUUACGAGAAAUCAAAGUUUUUGGGUUCUGGGGGGAGUAUGGUCGCAAGGCUGAAACUUAAAGAAAUUGACGGAAGGGCACCACAAGGCGUGGAGCCUGCGGCUUAAUUUGACUCAACACGGGGAAACUCACCAGGUCCAGACAAAAUAAGGAUUGACAGAUUGAGAGCUCUUUCUUGAUCUUUUGGAUGGUGGUGCAUGGCCGUUCUUAGUUGGUGGAGUGAUUUGUCUGCUUAAUUGCGAUAACGAACGAGACCUCGGCCCUUAAAUAGCCCGGUCCGCGUUUGCGGGCCAGCUGGCUUCUUAG
rnacentral:rRNA from 1 species